AGUGAACGUUGGCGGUAGGCCUAACACAUGCAAGUCGAACGGCAGCACAGUAAGGGCUUGCUCUUACGGGUGGCGAGUGGCGGACGGGUGAGGAAUACAUCGGAAUCUACUUUUUCGUGGGGGAUAACGUAGGGAAACUUACGCUAAUACCGCAUACGACCUACGGGUGAAAGCAGGGGAUCUUCGGACCUUGCGCGAUUGAAUGAGCCGAUGUCGGAUUAGCUAGUUGGCGGGGUAAAGGCCCACCAAGGCGACGAUCCGUAGCUGGUCUGAGAGGAUGAUCAGCCACACUGGAACUGAGACACGGUCCAGACUCCUACGGGAGGCAGCAGUGGGGAAUAUUGGACAAUGGGCGCAAGCCUGAUCCAGCCAUACCGCGUGGGUGAAGAAGGCCUUCGGGUUGUAAAGCCCUUUUGUUGGGAAAGAAAAGCAGCAGGUUAAUACCCCGCUGUUCUGACGGUACCCAAAGAAUAAGCACCGGCUAACUUCGUG
rnacentral:rRNA from 1 species